AAGUCGUAACAAGGUUUUCCUACUGAAGCCUGACACGGCGACUCAAAAGAAUCGUGGAGUCCAUCAUGGGCAAUGCCAACGAAGUGCUGGGCCCCUCCUCAGGAUGCCAGCAGCCGUCUCUCGCCCUUCGAGGGCGAGGUUCGGUCCACAGAUCAGGCAGUGGCAGCCGGGGUCAUGGACCCUCGGCUAAGAUAUGACCGGUCAGCGGCCGCGGCAGGCCAGCUGAGAGACGUUCCGUAGGUGAACCUGCGGAAGGAUCAUUAUCGAGUUAGG
rnacentral:misc_RNA from 1 species